rnacentral:rRNA from 1 species
GAUGAGUUCUCCCUGAGACUAUAAGUCUCCUGAAGGAACGUUGAAGACGACGACGUUGAUAGGCCGGGUGUGUAAGCGCAGCGAUGCGUUGAGCUAACCGGUACUAAUGAACCGUGAGGCUUAACCUUACAACGCCAAAGAAGU